AACGUAGGAGACAAACGUUAUCCGGAGUUACUGGGCGUAAAGGGCGUGCAGGCGGUCUGUUAAGUCUGGCGUGAAAGCUCCCGGCUAAACCGGGAGAGGUCGUUGGAGACUGGCAGACUUGAGGACGGUAGAGGCGAGUGGAAUUCCGGGUGUAGUGGUGAAAUGCGUAGAGAUCCGGAGGAACACCAGUGGCGAAGGCGACUCGCUGGGCCGUACCUGACGCUAAGACGCGACAGCAUGGGGAGCGAACAGG
rnacentral:rRNA from 1 species